rnacentral:rRNA from 1 species
AGAGCGAACGCUGGCGGCAGGCUUAACACAUGCAAGUCGAGCGCCCCGCAAGGGGAGCGGCAGACGGGAGAGUAACACGUGGGAACGUACCUUUCGGUUCGGAACAACCCAGGGAAACUUGGGCUAAUACCGGAUACGUCCGUAAGGAGAAAGAUUUAUCGCCGAAAGAUCGGCCCGCGUCUGAUUAGCUAGUUGGUGAGGUAACGGCUCACCAAGGCGACGAUCAGUAGCUGGUCUGAGAGGAUGAUCAGCCUCACUGGGACUGAGACACGGCCCAGACUCCUACGGGAGGCAGCAGUGGGGAAUAUUGGACAAUGGGCGCAAGCCUGAUGCAGCGACGCCGCGUGAGGGACGACGGCCUUCGGGUUGUAACCUCUUUCGACGUAGGGACGAAGCGAGAGUGACGGUACCUGUAUAAGAAGCACCGGCCAACUACGUGCCAGCAGCCGC